rnacentral:rRNA from 1 species
AUUGAACGCUGGCGGAAUGCUUUACACAUGCAAGUCGAACGGCAGCACGGGGGCAACCCUGGUGGCGAGUGGCGAACGGGUGAGUAACACAUCGGAACGUGCCCAGUCGUGGGGGAUAACGUAGCGAAAGCUACGCUAAUACCGCAUACGAACUCUGGUUGAAAGCGGGGGACUCGCAAGGGCCUCGCGCGAUUGGAGCGGCCGAUGGCAGAUUAGGUAGUUGGUGGGGUAAAGGCCUACCAAGCCGACGAUCUGUAGCUGGUCUGAGAGGACGACCAGCCACACUGGGACUGAGACACGGCCCAGACUCCUACGGGAGGCAGCAGUAAGGAAUAUUGGUCAAUGGACGCAAGUCUGAACCAGCCAUGCCGCGUGGAGGAUGAAGGUCCUCUGGAUUGUAAACUUUCUUUUAUUUGGGAAGAAAUGUAGUAAAAUUUCUUUUUCUACUUGACGGUACCAGAUGAAUAAGCACCGGCUAACUCCGUGCCAGCAGCCGCAGUAA